GUCCCCCAAUCCCCACAGCCGCCCGCCCGCACCCUCCCUCCUCCCUCGUCUCAGCCGCCACCCCCACGAACCCUAGCCGCGCCCUCCUGCAUCCUCCCCUCCCUGGUCCGCCCCAAGCUCCUUCUCCUCCUUCGUCCUCACAUGCUCCACCCUGAGCACGCCGGCGGCGAAGCGCACCGCGAGGCCCCGGAGCAACUCAGCCAGAGCCCCUCUGUACAGGAGGAACCCCGCGGCCAGCGCAGCCAACAACGGUGGCGCGUACAAGAGCUCGGCCUUGAUGGGCCGCCCGCCGUCCGCGAGGGUCACGUCCGCGCUGAAGGGCAGUAACGAGCACAUGGUGCGGUACGAGGAGGUACGCAGGGAGAAGGUGCACGGCUCCGCCUAGCACCAUGUGUGCGGCGACGGGGACAUGCAAUCACGGGCAGAUUUUGGGGAGCGGCACAAGCAUCAAGCAAUGGCUGAUUCCAAGAUUUCAGAUACUUCUGUAGAUGAAUUUCUGGGCUAAGAUACAUUGUGUUAAUUGUCCGAAAGAUGGAACGAUUUGCUCCACGGAAAUUAUCUCCUUAGUUGCAUUCCAUUUACAGACCCGACAUCCUCCAAUAUUACCUGAUUUGGUGCUGACUUUCAUCUUCCAGUUCAUGUUCAUUGCCUUGCUGUGGUUGCACCGUGGUCUGUGGGGAACAUGAACAAAUACCUUUGCUACAACCGAGGUCUUAACAGACCAGUCAAGGAGAGAUAGGUUCGGGGUUGUUAUGCUCUGUCCCUCGAGGUAAGUUUGCUAGGCAGCGGCUUACUCCUCUCUUGUUUUUUUAGUUUUGCCCAUGGUAUCGAAAUUACAUCUGGUUGAUGGUGUCAAGUUUAGGCAGGUGCCAUCUGCAUUUUGUGAAGAUUGCCGUCAUCUAGAUUUUAUUGCGGCAUGAUGCAUAUGUAAUAAGGAAUUUGGUGUUUCAGAAGCAUCAUUGGAAGUUCGUAUGCUAAUAUCUCAAUUGGCAAGAUAAAAAGACCUCCACUUCUUACCUUCCAGUCAUUUUAAUAUUAUAGGAAUGUAAGUUGAAUUCAGUGCCCCUGCAUUUACACGACUGGGUGUUAUUCAUUUUUUGUUUCCUUUGAUGCGCUGAGUACAGAUUGAAGCAUGUUGGGUACAAAAUGUUUCCAAGAUUAGUUUAGGAUCAGAACUAGUUUAGGAUCAAGAUAAAAACCUGGUUAUAUGUUGCAUCUCAAAAUCAAGAUGUUGAUUCGAGAAGAGAAAGGAGCUGUGGCGUGACAUGGUGCGAGACCUUUGUCCCGGAGCAUGCAGCUUGUCAGUAUAAAGUAAUGGGUAUCAGUGUUUUCUCAUACAUAUGAUUCUGAAGUAAUAGAGAGCAGGAAGUGGUAGGCUUAAUUUCAGUUAGAUAAAUAGGUAUACUGCAGCAUCAUAUGUUCCUUUGUAUUUUUCUUGCCAGGUUCAUGCUUUAUACAUCGUGUAUAUACGCAUAAAGUACACCCACAUAAAUUAUAGUUCGUAGUAUCGGCAGCAAACAGAGGCGCAGCUAAGCAGUAGCAUGUCCCUAUUAUAAAUGGGUAGAAAAAGCGCUUAUCAAAAGAACAGUAUCUCUGUUACAUGAUAAGAACGAAUGUUUGCUUUUAUGCAUAUGUCUAAAAGCACUCCACUAUAAUGCAAAUAGUAUCAUGUUCAGAGCCUUAAUAAUGGCAGCUGUAAACCCAAAAUAAUCCAUCUUAUAAUUUAGUAUACAAAAUAGAUUCCGGUGAGAAUCACUUCAAUAAGAAUGCUAGCUGCUACCAUAUAUCUAAUUGGCCCCAGAUCGAAAAUUUCAGUUGUUAAUCUCUGAAUGCAGUAUGCACUUGUGCUGAAACAUAGAGCGUGCGGUGUUGCUUUGUACAGGAAUAAAAAAUCUCAGUUGUUAAUCUCUGAAUGAAGAAGGGUCAUGGUUCCCCACCUCUCUACUACUCAUAUUAAUGCCACCCUUUGCUAAUUUAUCUUUGGUUGUUCAAUGCAUGAUAACAUUUUUUGAAUUUGCAACAUAUGAUACCUUCAUCUUCUGAGUAGGAAGUCACUGGAUAAUAUAAUCAGAUGAAUACAGCGUUAGAAGAUGCCACAACCUCGAAUAUACCUAAAUCUGGAAAAAAUUGGUUAGGUAGGAGGUCUGUUGUCACAAUUUUCAAUUUUUUAGUGCAAGAUGGACUCAGUUUGGGGUUCUUCAUCUAUUAUCAGCGAGCGUUAGUUUUGUAUUUUGUGUCUACUUCCACUUAAUCAUUAAAAAUUUCAUGACACAUCAGAUUUUAUAAAGGGCUAUUUCACAAGCAUUCGAUAGUAAGAGAAUUAGUCCAUGAUAUUGCCUCAACUGCAUGUAAUGACUGAUAAGCAAGCUAUUCGCCAAAAUAAAAUUAUUGGUUGAUCUGCUUACCACCUUCUCAUUUGAGGGUCUCUUGCUAUAGUCAUGUGAAAGGAUGGUGUUCGGAGCUAUAUAUUGGAAGAGCUCCCCGGAUUGCGCCGUUCCUGGCUGUCCGAUCGUAGUGAAUUUCCCACCUCGCUUCCCCUCAGACGUUGGAUAUUCACUGCAUAUUUCACCUUGUUAUUUCUUUCACAUGUGUAUGACCGGUGGGCCGCUUCGUCGGUGGGGUCGUCGGUGUGAGGGUCUGAUUGGUUGCGCCUCUGGAAAGCCCAUUGUCCCCCAAUCCCCACAGCCGCCCGCCCGCACCCCUUCCUCCUCCCUUGUCUCAGCCGCCACCCCCACGAACUCUAGCCGCGCCCUCCUGCAUCCUCCCCUCCCUGGUCCGCCCCAAGCUCCUCCUCCGUCCUCACAUGCUCCACCCUGAGCACGCCGGCGGCGAAGCGCACCGCGAGGCCCCGAAGCAACUCAGCCAGAGCCCCUCCGUACAGGAGGAACCCCGCGGCCAGCGCAGCCAACAACAGUGGCGCGUACAAGAGCUCGACCUUGAUGGGCCGCGUGCCGUACGCGAGGGUCACGUCCACGCUGAAGGGCAGCAACGAGCAUAUGGUGCGGUACGAGGAGGUGCGCAGGGAGAAGGUGCACGGUCCGCCUAGCACCAUGUGUGCGGCGGCGGGGAGGCAAUCACGGGCAGAUUUUGGGGAGCGGCACAAGCAUCAAGCAAUGGCUGAUUCCAAGGCAUGUCAAGAUCAAGGAUAUUUAAACUUGUUUCUUCUAUUGAUGGAAGAUUUCAGAUACUUCUGUAGAUGAAUUUCUGGCUAAGAUACAUUGUGUUAAUUGUCCGAAAGAUGGAACGAUUUGCUCCACGGAAAUUAUCUCCUUAGUUGCAUUCCAUUUACAGUUCAUGUUCAUUGCCUUGCUGUGGUUGCACCGUGGUCUGUGGGGAACAUGAACAAAUACCUUUGCUACAACCGAGGUCUUAGCAGACCAGUCAAGGAGAGAUUGGUUCGGGGUUGUUAUGCUCUGUCCCUCGAGGAAGAAAUAGAAGUUGAGGGGAAGCUAUUGCGUGCUAGGAAAUCAGUUGGUGUUGUCUAUGUUGGUUUCAGGAAGAAAAGGACCGGCAAAUUGAUGGCUCAGGCACGUCAUACAAAGUACCUUGCUGUAUCUUGCAGAUUGUGAGGAUUCCCUUCUGUUGUAAGAUAAAAACCUGGUUGUAUGUUGCAUCUCAAAAUCAAGAUGUUGAUUCGAGAAGAGAAAGGAGCUGUCGGCGUGGCAUGGUGCGAGACCUUUGUCCCGGAUCAUGCAGUUUGUCAGUAUAAAGUAAUGGGUAUCAGUGUUUUCUCAUACAUAUGAUUCUGAAGUAAUAGAGAGCAGGAAGUGGUAGGCUUAAUUUCAGUUAGAUAAAUAGGUAUACUGCAGCAUCAUAUAUUCCCUCGUAUUUUUCUUGCCA